GCGGGUGUAGUUCAAUGUUUUAGAAUGCUGGUCUCCAACACCAGAGGUGAGGGUUCGAUUCCUUCCAUCCGCG
rfam:Marine bacterium AO1-C Bin2_contig__7A_len_885938_cov_106.412_ID_13, whole genome shotgun sequence.